rnacentral:rRNA from 1 species
ACUCAAAGGAAUUGACGGGGACCCGCACAAGCAGCGGAGCAUGUGGUUUAAUUCGAAGCAACGCGAAGAACCUUACCAGGGCUUGACAUGCCUCUGAUCGUUCUAGAGAUAGAGCUUUCCCUUCGGGGACAGAGGACACAGGUGGUGCAUGGUUGUCGUCAGCUCGUGUCGUGAGAUGUUGGGUUAAGUCCCGCAACGAGCGCAACCCUUGUCUUUAGUUGCAAACAGUUAAAGCUGAGCACUCUAGAGAGACUGCCGAUGAUAAAUCGGAGGAAGGUGGGGAUGACGUCAAAUCAUCAUGCCCUUUAUGUCCUGGGCUACACACGUGCUACAAUGGUCGGUACAACGAGAAGCGACCUAGCGAUAGGAAGCAAAUCUUAAAAAGCCGAUCCCAGUUCGGAUUGCAGGCUGCAACUCGCCUGCAUGAAGUCGGAGUUGCUAGUAAUCGCGAAUCAGAAUGUCGCGGUGAAUGCGUUCCCGGGUCUUGUACACACCGCCCGU